AUACCUUGCCUUUAGGUCACAAUAUUGCAUCUCACAAAACCCUAGUUCUUUCCCUCAGCCGCCUCUGCCUUUUUUAACUUUCCUUAUUCAUUUUGUUCUCUUAUAGAUCUAUCUUUGUUAUUGUUAACUUAGAUCUAAGCAAGUAUCUUCAGUAUUUUUAAUUUUGUUUUCAUAAAUUUACAUUAUUGUAAAUUGCUUGUGUUCAUUUUUAUUUUGCUAUGUUUAUUUAGAUUUUGGCAGAUUAUCUGGAGCAUGCUUUCUUUAUUUGUUCCUAAUUUUUACAUGGUUAUGGGUAGCGAAGGAUUAACGUGAAACAGGUAAGUGAUAAUACAGAAUUCAUUGAGGAGAAAAGGGUCCAAAGGGUUGAUUGUUAUGAAGAAAUGAAGAGAACAUUUAACGUUUCUCGUGAAUCCUUCGGCUAUCCAUAACCAUGUUAAAUUUUGGGACUUGAAUGUUCUUGUCUUUAUAAAUAAAGAAAGCAUGGCUUCAGGUAAAUGCUAGUAAAUCUUUGAGUAGUUUACAUCUGUUAUUAGGAUACAAUGAGGGUUCAUUUAUCUACUUUGAAUAUUGUAUUGUUUUGUUGUAGUAUUGUUUGAUUGUUGUUCUUUGAUGGUCUAUCUUAAGCGGCCUCUCUACGUUUGAGUUGGGGUAAGGUCUACGCUAUUCGGAUCCCAUUUUGUGAAACCCCAUUUUUGUGGGAUUAGACUAGGUAUAUUGUUGUUGUUUUUAGCUAUAGCUUAAGAGCAUGGAUUGAAAAAGGGUAUUAGUUGAAAAGCUAAUGUAGAUUCUAGUUAUCAAGUUUAUCUUCGUGAAUGUUGUUGAGCUAUCUUUAUUUGUAUUUUGGAAAUUAUCUAGAGCAUGCUUGCUUUAUUUUCUCUACAUUUUGCAUGGUUAUGGGUGCAGAAGGAUUGAUGUGAAAUGAAGAGGUGUUAUGCGAAGAAUAAAUUAGAAUCAUUGUGGUGAAGAGAAGGUCCAAUGGGCUUUUUGGAGUAUGAUGUGUUUGUGAUUUUUGCAUGCUGUUGUUGUCUUCAAAACUAUAGUAGAAAACACUUUGUGUUUUACAUGAAUCCUUCUGCUAUCCAUAACCAUGUUAAUGUUAGAACUUGAAGCAAGGAUGGAUUUUAGGUAGUUGCUAAAAGUAUUGAGUAUGUCCAUGUAUAUUUGCAUUAGUCAUGAAUGUUAUUCUAUAUUCAAUAUAUUAUGGCCAUGUUUGUUGUUGAUGGUUAGUAGUUGAGGUUUUUCUUUCAUUCGGGGAAGGAAAGAAUGCCUUUAUCCAAAUAGGGAAAUCUCAUUAUCCUAUAGCUGUAGUGAGUUUGUCAUUACUACCUAUUGUUGGCCGUGAGUUUAGAAAACAUUUUCCUCUGUUCCAAUCACACCAAUCAAAUUGCUACUACAUUGUCUCAAUGCGUGGCUGUUUUGCUUGCUGUGAGAUAGGAUUUAAGUAUCUAGAAUGUGUAGUAAAUUAUUUAUGGUCUUUGCCUAAUAAGCACAAGUUGUUGUGAGUUUCCAUGACCUUUGUGCUAUCUUUAUUUGUAUUUUGGCGAAUUGCUGACGGACUCAUGUGAAACGAAGAGGUGAUAUGGCGGAAAAGAGAGUGCCCACUUCACUUCUUGAGCACGUGGUGUUUGUGGUCCAUUUAUGCUAUUGUUAGUCUGAUACACUUUAUGAAAGAAGCGCUUUAUGUUUUACACAAAUCCUUCAGCAAUCCAUAACCAUGUAAUGUUGGGACUUGAUUUAUCGUGUUCUCAAGUGGUGUAAAAUACAGAAAGCAUGGCUUUAGGUAAUUGUUGAAAGUGUGAGUAUGUUCACGCACGUUUGCGUUGGUCAUAGUUUUAUUCUGUCUUCAGUAUAUUUCCAUGAACAUGCUUUUUGUGGAUGCUUAGUAGUUGAGGCUUUUCAUUCCUGGGGAAGAAAAGAAUCUUCCCUGAUCGUAAGAGGGAAUUCUCAUUAUCCUAUAGCUGAAUAGCAAAGUUUUUUGUUACUACCUGUUUGGUAUCCUCCGAUCCAAAAAAAUGAAUCUGUUUUAUGUUUCAUCUUUGGAAAUGGCCACUAUUUUCUCGAUGCAUAGCUACUUUGCUUGGUGUGAGAUAGUGUUACUUUGCUUGGUGUGAGAUAGUGUUGAGAACCUAUAAUGUGUAGUGAAGAUUCAUAUGAACCUGCCCUAAUUAAGCACAAGGUGCUUUAAGUUUCCAUUAAAUUUGAAUUAGGUUUUCUUAUUUGUAUUUUGACAGAUUACCUAAAGCAUGCUUUCUUUAUUUUCUCUUCAUUUUGCAUGGUUGUGGGUUGCUGAAGGAUUAAUGUGAAACAAAGAGAUGAUAUUAGAAGAAUCUUUAGAAUUGCUAUGCAGAAGAGGAGGUGGCCCACCGCUCUUUUUCGAGUAUGUGGUGUUUGUGAUCCUUUUAUACAGUUGUUGGAUAAACUGACGGAAGAGAACGUUUUGUGUUUCACACAAGUCCUUCAGCAAUCCAUAACCAUGUUAAUGUUGGGACUUGAAUUUCCUUGCUCUCAAGUGGUGCAAAAUAGAGAAAGCAUGGCUUCAGGUAAUUGCUAAGAGUAUGAGUAGUCAUGAUUUUAUUCUAUAUUCAAUAUUCAUAGCCCUUAUUGUUGAUGCUUUAGUACUUGAGGCUUUUCUUUCUUUACUCUUGGGAAGGAAAGAAAUCCGCCUUGAUAUGAAGAGGAAAAUCUCACAUCUUUUUAAUAGCAGUGUCGGUCAUUACUGCCUGGAACGGCUAUGACUAUAGAAAAUAUUUUCCUUCAUACCACACACACCUGUCUGUUUAUGUUUGAUCUUUGGAAUUAACCACUAUAAUAGUUAAUGUUGGUAUACUUUGUUUCUUGUGAGAUCGGAGGAAUUCUUGGGAUGUCUAGUCAUUUAAUGGAUUUUACCUUGUGCACAAGGUGUUGUGAACUUUCAUGACCUUUGAAUUAAGCUGCUUUUAUUUAUGUCUUAGUAGAUUAUAUCUAGAGCCUCCUUGCUUUAUUUUCUCUUCAUUUUGCAUGGUUGUGGGUCUAUGAAGGAUUCAUGCUAAACAAAGAGAUGUUAUGCGAAGAUUCAUUAUGGAGUAGAGGAGGUUCACCAAGCAUUUAGGAGUAUGUUGUGUUUUGUGACCCUGUUACAAAAUUAUUGUCGGAUAAACCGAUGGAAGUAAACACUUUUGAGUUUAACACAAAUCCUUCUCCGAUCCAUAACCAUGUUAAUGUCGUGACUUGAAUUUUCUUGUUCUCUAGUGAUGCAAAAUAAAGGAAGCAUGGCUUUGGGUAAUUGAUAAAAUUUUGACUCAUGAUAUUAUUCGAUAUGCAAUAUAUUAUCCACUCCCUUUUUGUUGAUGCAUGGUGGUUAAGAAUUUUCUCUCCUCCUGGGAACGAAAAAAUUCUGCUUUAUUUGAGGAGGUCAAUUUCAUAUCCUAUAAUGAAAGAGAGCCCAACGUAUACCUAAAAUAUUGCGUAGCUUCUCUUUUAUUGCUCGUUAUUUAUUGGUUUUGUUAGUUGCUCAACUGCUAGCUCAGUUUCUGGUUCAAAAUUUCUCUCAUAAUGUAUAUUGAGGUGAAGUUGUAUGUUGUCGUUGUGCAUAUCACUUGAUCUUGGCGCGCCUUGUGCUUGUUUGGUCUCGAGCUCUUUCAACCUUCAUGGUAAACAUGUUUGUUCCAAAUUUCAUUUGUAUACUAGUCUGGAGCACCUGUGCAGUACCUGAUUCUUUUUAUGAGUAUUUUCUUGGUUGAAAGGAGAUCGAUGACUGGUAUAUGUGGAAUCUAAACUACAAAGCAAAAUGCAGAUAGAUGAUCAAUAUUGCACUGAAACUGUGUCGCUUGGGGUGCGUGGUUCAGGUUGAUGUUGCAACGGGAAAGUGAAGAGGGCAAGCAAACACUCGAGUCAUAUGGAGCACUGCCACUUUACACAAUUACCUGUAGAAAUGGUGGAUUGUGUAAUACCAGAUUUUUGCUGUAUGUAACGCUUUCUGGGCAUAUUUUAAUAUUGGGCAAUAAUAUAAACAGAUUUCUGUAUGUAACGUUGGCUUUUUCUUCAAUGUAGCCAUGUGGUCUUACCUUUUUUGUUAAUAGUUUAUUGUGAAGAUGUCGUCUCACUAGCAUUAUGUCCACAAUUCACCACCUACAGUCACUGUAAUUAUCUCACUAACACCAUCACAUUCACCACUAAUACAGCUGCCAACCACCCUGUGACACUUCCCACUGCACUGCUCAUUGCUACUGCAACACCAUUGCCGGCUGCAGCCACAGCCAUCCACUGCCGUCAACAGCCACUAUCAUUAACCACACUAUUCAUGCCCAAACAUAGCCAUCACCACUUCUGCCUGCCUCCACUAGCAACCCCCUCUAGUUAUUACAUAUUUUGGGAUAUAGAGAUAAUAUUGUGUAAGCUAUUUGUUUUGAUUUUGAUGCUUAUUAGGGAUAAAGUUUAAAUAUACGGAUGCUGAGAAAACAAAUUGCAUUGAUCAUUUAGUAUUCAGGUCCAAAUAUUUUAAUUUUAGAAAGAAACAGCUUUGUCGUCUAUAAACAUGAAAAACUACUCUCUGAAUUUAACCACUGUCCAAGAGUUUGGUUCACCUCGAACUAUAAACUAGGGGUGAUAAAUAGGUCAGUGUUUACUGCAAUUAUAUAAUUGUAGGUUUAUUUGAAUUCAGCACUAUACAAGCCAAAAGAUAAUUUUUAUUAAAAUUACAAGAAUUAGUGGUAGAUCAAAACUAAUAAUUUUAAAAGAGCAAUGUGUUCAACUCUAAAUAUUUUUAAAAUGAACACGAACGCUGCUAACCCAGCACAAAAGUAAUUUGGGCUGAGAAGAACUAGGUCACCAACCCACCCUACUCUUACCAAAUUCUAGUUUCUUUAUUUGUUUACUUAUAGUUUAUUAAUUAAUCCAAACAAAACUAAUAAAAGUUCCAUUACUUACAAACAUUUUGACAUAUCAGAUAAAGAAUAUCUUCUCAUCAAAUAUUUUGACAAGGUUUAUGAGCUGAUGAUUUUGCCACCCCCUACUUAAAACAAUUGAAUAUAAGAUGAACAACCUGCACUGAUAUAAAGGUCAAACAACAUUUUAUUGUCUAUGGAAUUUCUGAAAAUUCCGGAAUUUAAUUUUUCCAAAUUUUAUAGUUAACUGUGUUUUCCGAAGUUCCACUCUGAGAAAAAACAAUACAUGGCGAAGCGGCACCUUAUUCAUCACCAACAAUAAUGCCCCAAUUUCAAUUAGGUUGUCAACAAACAGGAUAACAGUAGAGAAAGAAAAGGAGACUAGUUUAACGACAAGAUAAAGUAAAAAAUUGUUGGGUAAAUAAUUCAACAGAAGAAUUGAAAUUAAUCUCAGCGAAAACUCCUGCUCAAAACAUGCCAAAUAGAAGAGCAAUUCCAAUCUUUUUCUACAAAAAUUGUCCUCAAAAGGUAACAAAAUACUUGAAUCUCUUAUAUCCGAAACUAAGAAUAAAUGCAGUAGUAUAAUCUCUACAUGUUCUUUCAAUAACCCCAGCACUCUUCCAAGCUGCAAAUGGGGGAUUUGGAGGAGCCUCAAAUUCAAGUGUAUCAAUCUGCAAAACAUUGAGAAACUAAUGAGGCCGUAUAGUCUAAGAUGACUUGUCUGUUCAUAUAAGAAAAAUAAACUCGGCACUGCACUUUGCGUUAUUAAUAUGACGUCUUAUUUCUAAUACAAAACUCUGAAUCAGUCAUUGAUUUCUAGUACAAACUCUGUGCAACUUAUAUGCGAAAAUCUAAGUAUUUUUUUAAUUAAAAAAAUGUUGUAUUACCAUUGCCAAAACUAGAUAGUUGUUGACUUGGAUAACUUUUUGGGAUGAGAGUUCUUGAUUUUGAUAACUAUGCAUAACAAAACCCUAUAUUACCCAUAACAAGAAUUUUCAUGUAUUAUUUAUUAAACAUAACUAGCCUGUGAAUGAUACAAUAAGUUUCGGUCACUUCCAAAACACUGAGUGUGUAGUAGCUCUACACACUAAACUUUUGUAACAAUAUGUGCAAACAUAAAUAUCGAAGACAACAAGAAGUUAAGUAUACAAAAACAACAAGAAGAUAUCCAGUGUAGUCCCACAAAGUGUGGUCGGGGGAGGGUAGAGUGUACGCAGACCUUACCUCUACCUCAAAGGUGAGGUCGAGAGGCUGCAUAUCAUAAAGCAUCCACAGCUAAGUAUCUGUAACCUAAUCAGUGAAACACCAUAAAAAGUCCGAGCAGCUUUAUGUAAGACUACAGGGAUCCAAUGGAUUUUCCUAAGAAUUGGAAAAGAAUGGGGGAGGCAAAAGCUGCCAUGUCCAGGAAAAACAUAUUCCCAGCCAUACAAAAUUAGACUUUAGAAGACUUAAGGAAGUGACAAAUGUUGAUUUCCUAACACUUUUAAAUACCUUUUUCUCUAAAAAAAAUCAGGAUCAAGAUCUCAAACAUUUUUAAAUACCUUUUUAAAUUUAGAGAAUUAUCAAUACUGAGAACCCAGUACCAUUAAAGAGUACGAGUUUAUGCAUUUUUCACCGCCAGUAAAAUAAAAUGAUCUGAAGAAUAUGUCACCACCCAACAAGAUUUCCACAAACCGUCACCCAUGCACAUGUAUUUUAGCAAUCACUGCUCGUGGAAUAAUCAUGAUCUGCCGAAUACACCACCACCCAAAAACAGACAAAAAAGACACACAGCUAUUUUAGCUGUAAAUGCUUCCAAGAAUUUUUUUUAUUGAUAAGGAUCAAAGCUUCCAAAUACUGCAUUUUGAAGUGUUCAAUACAACUUCAUACGUAUCAAGCUUCCCAAUCCGAUGGAUAAUCAUAACAAUACUUCAAUAUUACAACAAACAUCUGGACAACUUAUUAUUACUCUCCAUUCUUGCAAAAGCCAUGUCAUAUAAUAGGUUCUCAUAGAACAUAGUCUCUGCCCUUAAAAACACACAAGAAAAGGCCUAAUUUUAACCAUCACGAGGAAAACAUAAGGUAAAACCAGAUAAUGCUGCAAAAUCUAAAAGAUGGGAGAGUAUAAGAUACCAGCAUAUCUAAGGUGAUACUAAAUUCAAGUUGACCUGAUCAACUGCCUCCCUUCUGCUUGAGUGUUAUCUUGUCUCCCAAGCUAAGAGCAAUUCCUUGGGUUUUGCUCCUUAUCCUAAUGUAGCCACUCAGCUUACUAUCUGCUUGCUUCUCAAUGCUUACAUUCACCAAAGCAUCCUCGCCAAACACACUCUUCGCAUACAAGUUAGCAGCAAGAAACCCACAUUCCCCUUCCAAAGCAGACCUGGAAUUAUGCAUGAAAGCACAUAUACAGUGUCAAUAGGACAAAUGAUAUUGCUCGAUAGAUCCCAGAUGAGUAACAAACAAAAUGAACUCAAACAAAACAACAGCACAAUAAAGAAACGAAACUAAUUCCUGUAAUAAUAAACUGCCAUGUCCCUUAAAUAAAUUAACUUGUAUGAUCCAGUUUAAAAAAGUUUACUAAUUUUCCCAUGAUAAAGUAACUUGUUCUAUCCAACUUCAAAUUCUUUCAUGAUUUCCAAAUAUACACCAACACCCGACAUUUUGGGGGUUCCCAACACCAUAAAACCUGUAAUAAUUGGAAUAUCCAGAUCUCCCCUGAUACAUUGUUCUCACAACUUCUGGCACUAGGUAUGAUUCGGUAAGUUCACAGGUCUAAACAGCAACCACGAUACCAAAUGAAUCUUAGAUCAUAAAGGUAUCAUAAAGGUCACUAAGAAGAGUACUCCUAAACCUAGUCAUAUGCGAACAUCAUCAUAGAUAUGAAGAACCAAUUCAAGUACUUCCACAUUUUCACGCAGGUCAAACGCAUAUUCUUCGUAGUUCUUAUACAUCAAAAUACAUCAAUUUACCUAUAAUGGAAAGUAAUAGACACCAAGUCAAACACAAUUUGUUUGCCAUCUAUAAUGAAGUUCUAAGUUUAUACAACAGAACAAUUCUGCCACUACAAAUCUUGUUACAAAAGAUACUACCAUAUUUUUUUUUCCCUUUUCUCUUACAACUACAACUAUAACAACAACCGUCCCAGUGUAUUCCCACAAAGUGAGGUCGGGGUUUUCUCUUACAACUCUAGUCUCCAAAAUUCCCCCAAAACGAGUUUCCUGUAUCACAACUUUGGACUAUACAAUAACAUACCCAAUGAAAUCCCACAGUUAGGGUCUGGGCAAGGUAAAGGGUAAAGUGUAGUAGUAUACCUUGUGGAGGUGGAAAGGCUGUUUCCAAAAGACCAUCGGCUCAAGUAAUGCAUAUCAAAGCAGUUUGAAAAAUAAAAUACAUAACUAAAGAAGACAUAGCAAAUAAUAGGUAAAGCAUUACAUAGCAUUUUAACAUCAAAAUAGAAAAUGUCAAUAAUUUAGAACAAAAUGGUAUGGACAUCAAUAAUAACAUCAAAAAUCCCUCAAGGUGGACAUAAAAACCAAGCACAAUUGUCCACACUCUUAGGCAAACAGAUAACUUACAGCGCAGUAAGACACUUCAUGUUGGUUGAUUUGAUUAUAUGGUCAAGAAAAUCUUUUUCAUCUUGAAUGACAGUGUUGACAGCAACCUGCAAUUUAGAAAGCUAAUGGCUUAUUCUCAAGUGCUUAUAAUAAUAAUUCAUGUAGUAAUUGCUCACAAAAAAAAGUAGUAAUUGCUCAACUAUUUUGAUGGUAAGACAUACAAGAGACCACUCCAAAGUUUAGAUGCCAAAUAGAGCAUUGAUUAAAAUCAAGGAAUAGCAUACCUUGUUUUCCCACUCAAAUUCUAACCACAUGGUUCUAAAAGCAGCAUCACUGCACACCGCAGGAGAUAUAUAAUCCAUGAUGUCAAUAUGGAUGUCAUUUAGCACAACCACCAUCCGGUCCAACACAUUCGACGUCUCAUAAACAAUAUUCCCAAAAAUGACGCCAGUCUCAGUUGAGGACACCUUGAUGUUUGCUUUUAUCUGUUUGCUUGACUCAGGAGCAAGAGUAUAGUUCUGUGGACGCUCAACGAGUUUAAGAUCACCCAUAGUUGCCAAUUCCAAACAUAAAUUCUGGAGGGUUUCUUUAGUUCUAUUAAUAACUGUCACAUCCAGGACAAUAUCAUAAUGAUGAACUGUCACAAAUGCUUCAGCAUAAACAGGGUCGCUAAACCCUGUUAGUUGCAGAACCCGGUUUAGUUUAUUAGCAUCGGUUUCAUCUUUGACAAAUUCUCCAGUGGCACGUUUCAAAUCAUCUUGGACCGCAUCUUCCAACUCCAGCUGGCUCAUGCCCUGGCAAACAGAAAAAAAUUUAGGACAUGGAAGAACAAUUUCAAUCUGCAUUAAAGCACCAAAGAUCCAAACACCAGCUCUGGCAUUAAGUAGAAACUACUCAAGAUACAUAUCAUUGAGGAAAACAGAAAAAGUUCAAAUGCAAAUGUUUUGAGUCAAACUAAUGGUUGUUCAUUUUGGUACAUCAUCAUUCCCCCUCCCCUUCCUGGAAAACAACAAGUUAAUUAAGUGUGGAGAGUCCGCAUCCUUGAGUCUUGACUGUAGUGAUUCAUCAAAAAUUGAAGUCCCAGCAAGUAUUCAUAUUGAAUCAAAGUUUUGACAUUGAAACUUGAAGAAACUUAUGCAAUGUAAUAUGCAUGCCUCUCUUAAUGUGAUUGAAACAGUAGUCAAAGAAACAAAAAGUAUAACUUGAAAGCUCUGGUAAAGCUGGAAUAAGCUAUGUCUGUUCUUGGAUGGUGAAAAUAGCGCUUAAAGCACAUUUCUCUGAAGGCUUGAGACAGUUUAGGUGGAAAGGUGGAUGAAAUAGCAAAGAUAUCUGCAUCCAUGCCCACAGAGCACAAAGAAGGCAUGUUUGAGAUUACACAUAAAACCCCCAUAAUACAAUUUUAUGGUCAGUUAAGAUAGUUCUCACAAAUGUAUUAACUGAAGUAUGAGCAAAAAGCUACAGGCGAACUCCUUGUUAAUCAAACACAACUAUUCAGAUGGAAGAUUUUUCUUUUUUUUUUUUCGGAAAAUGUAAUGAAAUGUUCAGAUAGAAGGUGCUUACCCUCCUACUCUUCAAAUGGUAGAAAUCAAUGAGGUCAUCUGGCUGAGAAUGAGAAAUUUGAGCCUUUGCUUUGAUCUCUUCAGUCUCUCGCAUCUGCUUAUCAGAAAGCAUUUUAACAAAACUCUCAUGGCAAGAGUUCAACCAGAUCUUCCUGACCUCGUUGCCAGUGUUACAUAACAAUCUUACACACAGAACCAUCCUAUCAUAGGAGUCGUUAUCAAUUGGGUGUGGAAGAGCUGAAGACUGCCCUAGCUGUAUCAUUGAUACCAUGAUCAGCAAUGCAUUAGUUGUUGCUUUGUUCACUUCAACUUUGGAUGGUUGAACUUCUUCCAAUCUCAAAAUGAGCUUAGUCAGGGUGCAAGCGACAACAGCCCCAAGAAAGAAAUCACCAGUUAGCAGGAGGGAUCUCAGAUUUCCAGCAGUCAAAGAUCCUUGAACUACUGUUGGGGGUGAAAAAGCAGUUUCAGAGGCAGCACUUUGGGUAGCAUAUGUCCCAUCAGCAAGGACAGCAGGUCUUCUAGAUGAAACAGUAAUGGAGUUUAUUUGCUGCGACUUUUUCGAAGAAUCAUUAGCUUCGCCUUCCUCAGAAGCUGAAUAAAAUGGUAGGUCUCCAAGGCACUGCUUGAUAGUUGCAAUGCCACUCUCAACUUCAGAAAGUGAUUGACAAUAUUCUCCAAUAAUCCAAAGGGCACAUGAACAAACACGUGCAGCUCGAAUUUGGUAGAAAGUAUCCAGUAGUCUUGUAACAAUGGAAACCCUUAAUUUUGGAUUUGUUUCAAUAAUCUCACGAACAAAAACAACCACAUCAACUGCAGAAGCAACAUUGCUAUCUCCCAAGAAGUCCAUAAGCAGGUGUACUACUGUGCUAGCAACCUCCGGAAACUUCACGGCACAUGAAUGAAUGGCUUGGAUAAGCAUCUGACGGUACUCACCGUUCUUCUCAAGUUCACCGCUCUGGGUUUUCAUAACUUCUUUCUUAAGUGUGAGAACAACCUCAUUGAUAUUCUUGGGGGUGAUCAACUCAAGAACAAUGUCAAGUGUUUUUCUCCUGAUGUCAAGAUUGGGGCUUGAAAGCGCUCUGAGGACAUCCAUAAUCAUAUCAACCAUUAUCUCUCUAUGAGAAGAUUUCAAUUCAUUCAGUCUAUCAAGCACAAUAAGCUUCACAUUGUUGUCACUCUGAGAUUGUAGAAGUUGACAAUAAGUAUUGGCCGCAGCUCUUACAGCAGUUGGGGCAGAAGAUAAGGAAACAAGAGUUCCUGCACAUUCAUAGACAACAGCAGCAGAAGGGGCAUUGAGCAGUGAUAUAAUUAUCUUGAUGUACUUCCCUUUCUCCCCUUUGUUUGUCCUGCAAACUUUUCGGACCAAAUCCAAGACAACCAUUUGAAGUAAAUCACCCCAAUCAGAUACUCUAUCAACAUGGGUCAAGAGGUAAUUGAUAGCACGUUCCUGAGCACAUUGGAAAAGCAUCAGAAAUGCAUUCCUUUUAGCUGACGGAUCCUGCUCUGUGGUAAGAACAUUCUCAAUUUUUUCUGGUGCAUCUGCCAGAAGCUGCUCGCCCUGUGGAAGCUUGUAAACAGCCAUCACUGCAAGAAUUGCAUUCCGGCGAACAUACGGAUGCCGGUGCUCCAAGUUGCUCAUAAUAGAUGGAAUUAGAGGUUCAAUUAUAUCAACCUCAUUUAGCCGGCAAAGGAAUCUCAAAGUAACUCCACGAAUGUACUCAUUUGGAUGUUGCAAAUUAUUCCUCAAGUUCUGACAAAUUAGGAUCAUUUCAGGAAGCACACGUCCCUUGGAAUCGGUCUUCUCAAUGAUCUCCAAAUACAGAAGCAGCAGCUUUUGAAUUGUGUGAUCUUCAGAGGGCAAGACAUAUCUAAUAAUGGUAAUAAAUAGCUGGGGUAGGGUUUCACCAUUCAACAAAAGCAUGACAGCUUUCUUCAUGGCAUCAAUCUUGGCAGGAACAUCAUUUCCUUCAAGGGCUUCCUUGAUCUCAUUGGCAAGAGCUGGAGUACCCUUAUCAAAGUGUAUCAGCAAAGAACAGGACUUCUCCAUUUUAUUCUAGUUAGCUUACCUGAAACUUAAAGUUCCCCAUAAGUUUCAACAUAAAAUAUUAUAACUUAAGCAAGAGAGAACAAAACUGCAAUGAUCACAAAAAGAGUCCAGCUUCUGUUUAUAGUUGAAGCAGUUAAAUAAUUCUGAAGCUAUAUAAAGAACUAUUUAUGAAACAUUGAUUCUUUGAUUAUUAAAGAAGAAAUACAUUAAGAAGAGGGAUUGAACCACACAGCUAUCCAAAAAAAGAGGAAAAGAAGGCAUAAAUGAAAAUCCUUGUACGAAAAAAAAAAGUGUACUAACGAAAGAACAGCAACAACAUACCCAGAUUAGUCCCACAGGUGGGAUCUCGAGAAGGUAGUGUGUAAGUAGACCUUACCCCUACCUUGGGAGAUAGAGAGGUUGUUUCCAAUAGACCCUUAGCUUGAGAAAAUAACAGGGGUGAAUAAAUCAAGACAACGGCUACACAAGGCAUGGCAAUACAUUGAUAAAAUUGCAAGUAGAAAAAAAGAACUUUUAAUAAUGUUAAUUGGAUUCAUAAAAGCAUGUUACCAGCAGAAGAAAGGAGGUUAGACGAUUCAAUCACUACAGCCUAGCAAGGUCAAGAUAGCGUUGGUCAACCAAUUAAUGUGGCUUAUGAGGUACAACAAUUAUUAGGAAACAAUCAAUUUACGCCUGUAGCCACGACUGCUACAGAUGAUCUAACGAGAGGAACAGAAAUGAUUGAUAUCCCUUUUUCCCAGUGGGUGUAGGCUUUAUAAUAAGGCUCUCCGCCUCAUGGCGGACUGGUAUCUUUAUUUCACAAUAUCACAUAUUCUCUUUUAUUCAUAAAAUCUAUACCUAUAGAAUUUGCUAAUCGAUUGUUCUGAAGAAAUGAAAUUAGCUGAACUUAAUAAAAGUCACCAGAUUUAAUUCUUCUGCAAUUCACAUCAAUACUCAAAUCGAACUGCAAGCAAAAUGUGGUCAAUCAAUCUAUCAACAAUGCCUCAAUUCCACAUUAAAUUGAGCAAGGUAUACGAGUCGGGCAUCCAUGGAGCUCUACGCUCGGAACAUCAACCUAGUAAAUGAUAAAUUGAACCACCCAUCACUUUCACCUAUUCACUCUUCUCAUCAAAAUCGUUACUCCUCAGCCCAGAAUAAUAGACGGAUCUAACCUUUCGCAUCAGAACAGAUAAUAAAAAACCUAUUUUUAUUAGCAAAACAUAGUAUAUGUAAAACAAUGUGCAAAUAUUCAAUCACAACAGAAACGCAAGCAAAAUGUGAUCAAUCAUUCAAUCUGUCAAGUGUCAAAAAAUUGUCACACAAAUCAGGCAUUCAUUGAGCUCUACCCAGAGUAAUUAACGGAUCUAACCCUAUACAUUUUUCUACGCAAAAAUUACAUUAUACAGAGUUAUACACAUACUUCUGAAUCUACUAAAGUCAUAAAUUGUGGGCAGCGUAGAUUGAACAAGACAAAUUACCCGAAUAAUCAAAAAUUGGCAAUGCAAUAGAAGAGAAAACAGAUCUAAAAUGAGAAACAAAUAGGACGAAAAUACAAAUCGGACUUACCAGAUUGAAGGUAAAAAUGAUUGGAUCAAAGUGAAUCUUAAUAAGAGAAAUUAGUACAGAGGAAUUUGUUGGGGGGGGGGGGGGGGGGGGAGGGAGAAUUGUGGAAUUGAGUGUGGGAUUUGGAGGAAAGUUUGGUGUGUUACUCAGAUCUGGGAGAUCCGCAGAGUGAGUAUUUUGUAUGCUCUUUAACUUGUAAUGAAACGAGUGUCGAGUCUGGAGCAAAGUUCAAGCUGAAAUAAUAAUAAUAAUAAUAAUAAUAAUAAUAAUAAUAAUAAAACAUUCAUUCAGAAGAAAGAAAAAAGUAUUGUUCUUUUUUCAAUUUAUGUGACAUUUAGCAUUAGAUUAUGUAAAUUUUGAAACUAAGGCCGUCUGAUCAUGAAAACAUAAUUUUUUGGAGUUAGAAAUAAAGUUGGAAUUGAAGUUGGAGUUGUGUUUAUAUUUGUCCGUGAAUAUAAAUUGAUGUUGUUUUAGAAAUUUUGAAAGUAUAAGUGAAAAAGGUGAAACAAAUUUUUCUUGAAAAAAGUUGCUCUUAUUGGAGUUGUGUUUGAUCAUGAAUAUACGUUAGAGUUGUUUUUUUUGUGUGUGAGAGAAAUGAAAAUAAAAAAAAGUGAAAAUAAGUUUCUAAAUACAUUUUGAAAUUUUUAUGGUCAACCACUAACUAAAAUGAAAUAAUUUUUCGGAGUUAUUACUUGACUACCUAUACUACGACUUGCUAUAUUCAGUCUCUUACAUCUUUUUUGCAAGUACAUAUAUGCAUCUCCUUUUCAUAUAUCCAAAUCAUUUCAAUUUUAUUUCUCAUCUAGUUUGUGGUGGGUUACCCCUUCCACCUUACCGUGUAAAACUACAUUUCUAAUGUGCAAAAAUAUCCAUAUGAGCAUUUUUAUCUCUGGUAUGUUCAUUUAUUGAACGUGUUGUACUUAACUAAUCAACACUAUGUUCAUACAAUAAUGUAGGUGCAACCACCUCUCUUAUAAAACUUACCUUUUAGCCACAAUGACAUAUUCUUAGAGCACAUUGCUCACAACGUGACCUUUCAUUUAGCUCACAUUGCGUCAAUCUUCAUGUUUCUUUGAAAAGAUCUAAAAUACUUGAAAUUACCUCUCUUGGGUAUGAUUUGUGUGUCUAUCUUCACUUUCACCUUCUUUUCAUGCGCUACGUCAUUGAACUUAUACUUUAGGCACUCUAUUUUCGUCUUGCCUACUUUGAAAUGUUUAAUUUUUGGGGUAUGACUUUAAAUUUUCAGUCUAUCGUUAACCUUAUUGUAUGUUAUGUCGAUCAACAUUGUAUUGGCUACACAAACACCACAAUAUGAAAAUAGAGAGUCAAUUCACCAAUCACCAAAGCAAUAGAAACGAGUUAUCAUGGUGCAACCUCAUCAUGUCAUCAUUCCUUAAUUGCGCUAAUGAAAGCUAUAGAUAUACACUCUAAUCAUUUAUAUAGAACCUUUUCAAAAAUUUUACCGUGUGUUUUCUACAUUAAUAAAAAAUACUUGUAGAACUCUUUUUCUACCUACGCACCGCUCCAACAAUAAGAAGAAAGAAAGAAUAGAAAAGAUAGCAUUCAUUAGCCUUGCAUGAAAAUACAAAAAAUCAUUUGGUUAUAUAAUUUUUAAUUUAUUUUUUUAAAAUCUAAUUUGAAAAUUGUAUUUUUAAUGAUAUUUUAAUAAAAUUUUAAUUAAUAUAAAUUUUGAUUUCAAAAUUAAAUUCACCUAAAAACGUAAAUUUAAAAUCCAAAUCUGUGAUUAAAACUAGAUUCAUAAUUUUUUCUAAAAAAAAAAUUAACAGAAAACAAGACUCAUGUUCGGCAUGGAGAAUUUUCUCAUACCAUGUGAGAGGAUUGUACUAAGAACAGUUAGUUAAUAACUUUAAAUAAAAUUAUAUGAAUUUGAAAGUGUAUAAUAAUAUAUAAUUGCAAAGAUCUAUUUAUAAAAAAAAACAUAUAGAUAUGUGAUUUUAUUAUUAAUGUCGUGUUUUAAGAUAAAUAUGAUUAUCUUAUUCGUAAGAUUAUAUAAAAAUUGAAGAAGUUUGAUAUUUUUCACAAAUUAUGAGAUUUUUAUAUUAUUCUAUGUAAAAAAUGGGAGCGAAGCUGCUCAAGCAAACUCCACUCCAUCGACAUCCCUGGUUGUCACCUGUUUGCUCAGUGAUUUUAUCAUCACUCUUAAUUAAUUAUAAUAUAUUAAUUAUGUAUUAGAAAAAUUUAUUAUAUUUAAUUUAAAAAGUAAAAUAAAAAUUUAGAUAUGUCUGCUUUAUCUGUUUUAAUCAUAAUUUUAUUAUAUUACUCCUAAUUAAUACUAUAAGUUAUCUAAAUAUUAAAAUAAUCAUAAUAUUUAUUAAAAAAAAAGGUCAAUAUGUCACUACGUAUUAGAAAAAAAAUUAUUUAAUUAAAAAAGUAAAAUAGACAUUUAUAACAUGUCUGUUUCAGCUACUUUAACCGUAAUUUUACUAUAUAAUUCAUAAUUAAUUUUUAUAGGUUCUCUAAGUAUUAAAAAAUUAGUAAUAUUUGAUAAAAAAAACUCAAAUAAAAAUAUGAUAAAUUAACUUGAAGCAAACUCCAUUCUGUCGACAUGCCUACUUAGCAGAGGUCCACUUUAGAAAAUUUUAUAGUUUCUCCGUCUAAAUUUAUUUGUCUUACUAAAUUACAUUUAAAAAAAUAUUAUAAAUUAAAAUAAUAAACUUAAAAUAUUUAAUUAUAUAUUUGAUAAUUACUAUGUGAAAAGUAAUAAAAUUCACGAUAAUUAAUAACUGUAAAUAUUUUUUUUGAAAAACUGAUUGACUUUCGAAAUUAUAUGAGUGUCAUAUUAACAACUUAAAAUAUGUUUAUACAAAUUUCAUUAAUCUAAAUAUAAUAAUAUGUGCCUAACUAAGAAUUUAUCGAUUAAACAACUGAAAAUUUUAUUUAAAUUAUAGAAUUAUACCUAACGUAAAAAAUUUAAAUAUCAAUAUUAUGGCCGGGCGUAGCACAACAUGAUCAACUAGUUAUAAGACUAGUAAAACUUUUAAACUCCAAAAACAUCCGAAUGCAAUUUUAAUUUGAAACUAACCACUACACAAAUCAAUAGUUUCACAUUAUAAUAAUUUCAAAUUCACGUUCAAAUGCCUAAACAAAUUUCAUCUUUCAUUAUCGUUUUUUGCUCAUAUUUUACACUUUUUAGAAUAGAGGCAAUUGAACAUUUACAAAUUUACAUUAAUGCUUUUAUAUUUUUAUUAAUGCUUCACCGUCCUAAUCUUUGAUUUAAAUGUAAAAGGUUAUGAUAAUAUUUAAGAAGUUUCCUGUUUAUUUGUUUAUUGCAAUAUGUUCUUGGGAUACCACAUUGUACUAUACAUGUACUUAUUUUAUUUGUCAAGAUUGUUAAAGGUAUUUACCAAAAUAUUUAUCAAUUAAAGAGGUAAAAUACAUUGAAUUAUUUUUAUGUUUAAAAUAAAUGUGAAAAAAUAUUAAUAUAGUUAAAAGGAGCAUUUCAUUUGUUUCAAAAUAUUUGACAUAUUUCAUUUUUGAAAGAGUGAAACUACAGUAACAUUGACUAAUAUUGUAUGAUUUUUUUUUUUUUCACAAUAUUGAUAUGAGAAGAAAAUAAUUAUAAUAAUUUUCAUAUAUUUAAUAUUUAAAUUAUAAUUUUAAAUAUUAAAUUAAUUUGAUUCAAUUUAGCUCAAAAAGUUAAUUAAAUUAACUAUCAAAAACAAAACGUGAAAACGACUUUAGGCAUAUUUAUAGUAUUUUCUCCAUUCAUCUUUAUUUGUGCAUAUUGAUUUGACACACCAAUUAAGAUUAAGGCUUCGUUUGGCCAAGAAAAUAUAAUUUUUUGAAAUUAAAAAUAGAGUUGAAAUUAAAGUUGUGUUUAACCAUGGAUAUAAAUUGAAGUUAUUUUUGAAUUUUUGUGAAAGAAAUAUGAGUGAAAAAGUGAAAACAAUGUUUUUCUUAUUUUCACUUUUCCAAAUACAAUUUCAAAUUGUAGUUGAAAUUUUCAUGGCCAAAUAACAAAUACUAUUGUUUUCACUUUUUCCAAUAAAGUAAAAUGAUUUUUCGAAAAAAAAUAAAAAAAUACUCAUGACCAAACAGCUACUAAAACACCCACUUCGUCCCAAAUUACCCAUCCAAAAUUGAGAUGAUACAUUAAUUAAGAAAAAUAAUUAAUAACAUAGCUAGUUUACCAUAGUACCCCUAUUAAAUGAUGUUUACAUUUUAAUUUGAAGAAAAGGUAAUCAACACAAAGGGUAAAACGUGACAAAAAAAUCGAUCUUUUCUUGAUUAAUGAAAAAAGACAAAUAAAAUGAGAAGUUAAAUUAGAAAAUUUAGAACAGAUAAUUUGAAAUAGAGGGAGUAAAUAAAAGAUACUCCUAUAUACUACCCCUAUCAAUCUAUAUCUAUAUCUAUAAUCUAUAAUCUAUAUUUAUAUCUAUAAUCUAUAUCUAUAAUCUACAAUAUAUUAAAAAUAUGAAAAUCAUUAAAAAAGUUAUUUGAACCUUUUGUCCUUCAUUAAAGACUCUCCUUUAGAUAAAACUGUCUUUUCACUAUUUUUUUAAAUUUAUUAUUUAAUUAUGUUUUAUUAUAUUAACUAGACUUUCUAAAAUAUAUGGUAGGAAAAUUAAUUAGUAGUUUUCUUUUUACUAGACUUCCUAAAAUAUAUGGGACUUCUAAAAUAUAUGGUACGAGAAUUAAUUAAUAUUUUCCUGUUCGAUUAGAAAAAUACUCCCUAAAAUAGGACUCUAUUAAAGAAAUACUUCUAUAAAUAUUGAGAUGUAUGUUAAACUAGAGAACAAAUCGUAUUGUUUUUAUGUCACUUUUAUCGUAUUAUUUUGUUGCACUUUACAGGUGAUAGAUAAAUGUUGAUCGGCUUUGAGAAAUUUUUAUAUGUAAAUGUUAGAGUUAGUUGUAUUAUUUUGAUAUCUCUAUUAUCGUAUGUUUACAGGUAGUAGAUGAAUGUCAGACGACUUUAAAAAAAAAUUGUAUAAAAAUUAGAUUUAAUCGUAUUAUUUUGAUGUCUCUAUCAUUAUAUUGUUUUGUUGCAAUUUACAGAUGGUAGAUGAAUGUCGAUCAACUUUUAAAAAUAUUUUUGAUAAAGGUUAGAUUUAAUAAGUAAAUUCUCUAUCUUUACAUAAUUAAAAGAUAUUAUAUUUAUAUUUAUUAUUUUAAAAAAUAUCCUAUUUAAUUUAAUAUUUAAACUUAUUAAAAUGAGGUACACCUCCAUAAGUUAGCAAAAUGCUGAA
rnacentral:lncRNA from 1 species